rnacentral:rRNA from 1 species
CAAUAGCGUAUAUUAAAAUUGUUGCGGUUAAAACGCUCGUAGUUGGAUAUUUGUUGAGAACUGCCGGUCUACCCUAGUGGUGAGCACUCGGUUUGUCCUCGGCACUUUACUGGGGAGAGUGUUUGCACUUCAUUGUGUGGCACAUGAUCCAGAACUUUUACUUUGAGGAAAUGAGAGUGUUUCAAGCAGGCGUCUGUCGUGAAUACGUUAGCAUGGAAUAAUAGCAUAGGACCGCGGUCUGACGCUGUUGGUUGUUGGACCGGGGUAAUGAAAAUAGGGAUAGUUGGGGGUAUUCGUAUUUAACUGUCAGAGGUGAAAUUCUUGGAUUUUUUAAAGACGGACUACUGCGAAAGCAUCUGCCCAGGAUGUUUUUAUUGAUCAAGAACGAAAGUUAGGGGAUCGAAGACGAUCAGAUACCGU